UUGGUGGUGCUUUCUAUUCACGUGUACGCCUGGGCUCUGGGGAUUCCCCUCCCUUUGAUUUGUAAGAAGGAUUAGAAAGACACUGCUUUGUGAUCAGGCCAUCACAGACGACUGGUAUUAACCAAUUUCCCCUUCUUAGACUCAUUUGAGACCCAGAAAAUAGUUCUGUUGAGUCACUUGCUCACUGAGGGUCUGAAAAUACAGCUUUUGGGGGAGUCCACAUUGAUAAACACUAGCUCUGAUCUCCACCAGUCCCAGCUACACUUACAGUGGCUUAUAACAGACAGGAGCCAGAGCUCAGAGGAGCCUCUGGUCUCACACAGCCUCUAAGAAAACUCCUGUGGGGGGUGAGCCCAUAUUAGUCUGCCUCUUUGUAUCUCUAUGCCACCAGCAUGAAUAGCAUCCUGGCCACCAAGGGCUCUCCAAACUUACUGACUGGACAGGUACAAUCAAUUCUAUCUCUACAGUGACUCUGGGGUAUAAAGUAGGAACAAAGGUCAUUCAGUACCUGUUCAAAAGGAGGCCAAAAGGUCUGCCUAGGAACAAAUUCCCAAGUCAGCAGCCUCAACAAAUAUACUCUUAGGCAAAAAUUACUUAUUUGAUGUCCUCAAGAAAGGAAUGUUGUAUAAGUGUUAUUUUUAAAGGGGGGGAGGAGUUGAAAUAAUGCUGUGUCCAUAUUUAAAUAAAUGACAUCAAUACAAACAAUAAUAACUUACAGUGAAACAGAGUCAACAUAGAAGAGACACAAUAAGCAUAGGUCCAGAACAAAUACAUUAAAUGGCCAAAUAUUUACCUGGUGAGUAGGGGCAGACUUCCUUUCAUAGUGAGGUCCUUGCAAUGGAUGGAGAUCUUCCAUCAUGGUCACCAACAGGCCAACUACAAAUCACAUGCUACAGGCCCAUUAAAAUGGGUGUCCUGACCAUGGGUACAACUCAAUUGAGCCUCAAUGCCAGGUGACAAAUACAAUUUUAGUCUCUGAUACCCAUUCCAGUGGCUUGGACAUGGCCACUUGGAGCACUGCCCAAGAGGAAAUGUGAGGCUGUGUGAGGUCUCAGAGUUGCUAGAGGGAAUGGUGAGGCACAUAUAGUACAUACAUAUUCACUAGGUGCUAUCCUGAACUUUUCUCUCCCUCCUUUUCAGGUGACUAUUUGUUACCUCUCAUCUGACAUCAUUAACAGGAAUAAUGACAUCAUGGUACUUUAUAUUUAAAGAGUUUAUUCACAGAAGGGUCUUAGCUGUCCUCACUAGCAGGUAAGGGAAAUUGGGAGCUAACUGAAGUAGCAGUUGUGUUACGAGUUCUAGGUUCCCAUCUCAGAUCCAUCACCUAAUAGCUACAGAACACCUAUUCUACACCUGCUCAGGUACAGUACUUAAUCUCUCCAUGCCUCAGUUUCAACUGUCCAUUUAAGAUAGCAAACAUGCCCAUUGUGAGGGGGAAUGAGUUGGCACAUAAAGUAAUUAAGACAGUGUCUGAUGCCUAGUAAGUACCUAACAAGUAUUACCUUUCUUCUGACAUUCUCAUUCUAACUGCUGUAUUUUUCAUGGUUCACUUCCUCUGAUUCUCAUCCCCAUCCCAAAUGUUCCAGUCUGGACUAUCCCCCUUCCCUCUUAAGUUUCCAUCUUUCAGGAGUCAGUUCAAAUUCCACCCCAUCAUGGAAUUUUCCUAGCCCCAACAAGUCCUUCAUUUCCUAAUAUCAAGUAAUCUACUUCAAGUAUUUUUCUCUGAUUGUGUGAUGUGCGUUAUUCUUCGCUCUCUACCUACAGUGUAAACAUCAUGAGAUUUUAUGUUUUUCUGAAACCCUGACCCCAUUCUAGAGGAGAAAAGAGAAGGGAAACCAGCAUUGAUUGAGCACUUCCUAUGAAUCAGACCCUGUACCAAGUGCUUCACACAUGUCAUCCUCAUAACUCAGUGAGAUAAACAUUACUACCCUAGUUUUAAAGAUGAGGAGACAGGUUCAAAGAAGUUGAGUAGUUUUCUGAGAUCAAACAGUAAGCAUGUGGGACAGCUAGAUUCAGACCAGGUCUGUCUUUCUAAUCUAUACUGAUUUACCUCAUAAAAGGUUCUCAACAUCAAAAUUCAUGGCCUUGACUUGGGAGGAUGAGAUAGGAGGAUCUCGAGUUCAAAGCCACCCUCAGCAAAAGUAAGGUGCUAACCAACUCAGUGAGACCCUGUCUCUAAAGAAAAUGCAAAAUAGGGCUGGGGAUGUGGCUCAGUGAUCGAGUGCCCCAGAGUUCAAUCCCUGAUACCCCCGCCCCCCAAAUUCAUGGCCUCAUGUAUAUUUGUUGAUUAAUAUCCUCAGAGUAAAGCAUUUGCUCAUAUUAAAUUUACCAAGACCCAUGUUGUUUAAUGCAAAAUGACAUUUAAUGGGAAAAUGUAAAAAAUGUUUAAGAAUAAAACAAAUUUUCAGUACCAAGAAGAAACCAGUCAACUGCUUUGUGGAAUGUACUGUGAAUUCUGGUUGGUAGAGAUGGAAACAUUGAGUUCACAGGCUGGGGAGGAGCCAUGCUCUGGUAGAUAUGGCAAAGGAAAGGACACAGAUUCCUGGAUUCUAUUCCUGGCUUGGCCACUAACCACUCUGCUAAUAUUUUCACUUCUGCUAAAAUGUGAUGAUGAGAGUUUCCAAAGAAAAGUUGCCAUAUAAGAAUAGGCAGUUAGCUGGUUAAAUGUGGUAGAGCCACAAACAACGCUGGGAUCUGUAAUAGGAGUUCACAGUUGGGACAAAUUACAUUUGGGCAUUUGUCUUUCUAGCUUUGCUUCAACCUAUAGAGAGCAGCACUGAAUAUGGAACAAUCUUUAAGUAUAAAUAGUAAUAGUAUGUAUGUUUUUAAAGAACUUUCGUUAAUUUAGGAUCCACUUGAACCAUUUAUGUUUGUUCUCAUUUCUACUUGAAAUGACAUUUGUAUUUUUCAGACUGGUUACUAUGCACAAUGGCAGUGCUAAAUAAGAAAAAAAACUGAUUGAUUCUUAGCAUGUUUGAAAAUCAACACAUGAAGUAUGCCUCUCUCUGAUCCUGUGGAGUAUCUCAUCCUUAAGAUAAAGACAUAGCUGGGACUGAGCAAGUAGGAAGAGACGUUUGUCAUUGGUCUUUGAAGUCAUCUAGCCAAGAGUCCAGGCGUGAAAGAACUGGUGAUAGUGGAAGGUUAUGACUGCUUCUGUAAUCCUUUAAGGUACACAUGAUCCUCUUGAAAAAAAAAAAAGGGACCAGAACCUGUAGGGUAGUGACUGUCCAUUUGUAUGCAGCUAAAGUCCUAUGGAACCCAGAAUCCUGGAACUAUGAGCAAGUCUUGUGGACUUCCUGUUUCCAUCAAGGUCUAGAAAGGGAUCACUGCUGAGAACAGAUGCCCAGCUGCUUUGAAACAGGGAGGACAGGCAAACUCUUUUCCUGCUCGUGGACUCCUCCUGCCCUCCCUAGGACCACACUGAAAUGACUAAAUAUGGCUGUUGCUCCAGUGAAUCCAGUCAAAUAAAUAAGUCAAUUCUCUUUUAAGUUUGUGGUCUUAACUUCUUGUUGGUUUAUUGCAAAAUUAGAGGGCACAUAGAGUAGAACCAUCAAUCAGUAACCAGCAGAGGAAUAAGCUCUUUGUGGAAUGUACUGAGAAGCAGGAAAGAAGAAGAAAAAAAUGAAAAGAAACCUCAUGAAAUGGCCAUUUGUUAGAAGAACACAGAGGGGAAAAAAAAAAUCCCCAUUUUGCAUGGAGCAUUAUUUCGGAAAAGUCUUAUUAAAGGUUUCCUAUCUCCCCAGGAGAGCAAGCACAGGAAUGCAAACAAAAAUCCCUCAAAUGAUUUGCCAUUUAUUAGUGCUGGUUUCUUGUGGGUUUUGCUGUAUUCCAUAGACAUAGGCAAAGAUCAGGGGCUUCGGGCUGGAACAGUGACUCAGCAGGCCAGAGCCCAGGGUUAGAAAAGGAGAAGCCAUUAUUGAUUACUACAAAACAAACAAACAAUACUGGCUUCUGUAGCACUCUACCCCAACCUGACAUUCCCUUAGCACCCCUUCAUUCAGAGUUAAAGCAUCCACUGCCAUG
rnacentral:lncRNA from 1 species